GAAUACAAAAAGACUAUUAUUUUCAUCAGAUUGUGAAGCUUGUCUUGCAUUUUCAAAGAGAAGAUAUUGGCAGUAUUGUAUCUAUAUUUUAUUCUUUUCCAAAAAAGGAGAAAGUGUGUGACUCACAUACGUAAUGAAACAGAAAAGUCUGUAUUUUAGGACUGACCAUUUAAACACACAACUCUUUUUUCUGUCACAGAAAGAAAAGGAAAGCACCCCCUACUGGAGUCUUUAAAAAGCCUGGAUGAACAACAUACAGACAUUAAUUAAUCACCUCUGUGCUGCUGAAGCUAAAGAUUGCCGCUGACUCUGUAUAUUCCAUCAACAUCCAGACCUGAAAAAGGAAAACAUAUUUCAUAUUGGCUCAUGUGAGUAUUUUACUUGAGAUGUCUGUCAAGAAACCAUGAAUGUCCUAACAAAUAUAGGGAAGAACACUAUAGUGAACAACCAGAUAAUAAUCCACCUGACAAAGACUAGAAGCAUAUGAUGACUCCUGCCUGAUUAAAACAACAAAGAAAAAAAUUGUAGAUUAAUUCAAUUGAACCCAAGAUAUCUAAUUAUAAUGCUCUAGUAAUUCUAUUAGAAGGCAUGUAGUAUAAGCAGAGACAUUCCAAUUAGAUGGGAAAAGAUGGUGCAGUACUGGCUUGUGUGUUCACACACAGCCUCUGUAGGAUAGAAUAUCAGACUUGGUUAAGUGUAUAUUAAUUAUUUACAUUAACUGGGCUUGAAGAGUUUUUCAGGUAGAGACCCAGGCUUUUUUCAGCUGAAGGUCAUGAAUUGCAUUUCUGGUAUUGUGUGGAAACUGUUAGAUGAUUGCCAUGUAAUUAAGACACAUGUAAGACGAUGUUUGUAUCAGUUAUUAAUACCAUUCUACUAUGAUUUGGUUUUGCAUCACAUCAGUUAUGUUUGAAGAUGGCAUGCUAUGAUAUCCCAAAUAGCCUGUGCUCUGGAGUUUAUUACUGCAAUAAUAAAGGCCAGCCAAAUACAUUUACAAGAAGAACCAAAUACUCCCAUUCCUCUGUUAUGUCUGCUCAGGUGUCCUUUUCUGGGUGAAGCUAUUUGGCACUUUCCUUAUAAGGACAUACUAUCUAUCUCCUACAGUAGGCAGGACUGUAGGUUGAUAUGUCUAUAGGCAUUCUUAGGUGCAUUUUUGAAGCAUAGUCCAAGCAGUAGAAGGAAUGUGUAUACUCAAAUUAUAAAACCCCAAAAUGUAAAUUGCAAUUUGAAAUGUACAGGUGGUAGGUCAAGAAGGCAAAGAACAUUUUCUCCAAAAUGGGCUUUUUCACUUGGAAUCUGAUCAUGUACCAUUGGAAGAAAUGUUUUUGUUGGGAAAUGCUGUGAUUUGUCAAAAUCAAAACUUCUCAGGAAAUAUAUUAAUUUCCAUAAACUUUUAAAGGGAAGGUUUUUCAGGUCCCAGGGGAAAUUUCUUUUCAAAAUCAGAGGGAGAAGGCCUGAAAAACCAAGACUUCAAUAAUUAGGACAUUCACCUAGUAUGAAUGAGAUUCUGAAUCAAAUGCGUAUUGGUCUCUCUCAUCUCCCAAGGAAAUGCCCUAAAUAACUACUGAGCUAAACUGAGGUCUCUUUCUCCCAGAAAAAAUUCCAAAGGUCUAGUUUCGCUUUCAAUGUAGAGUGAAAACAACUGUUGAAACAUCAAAAUUUUGAAUUUUUUCACAAAAAAGGAAUUCUUAUUUUCUAGCUGUACAAGAAACAUCUUGAUUCCAUUUAUAUAAGAUUUGCUUUAAAUUGGAAUAAUCAUUGUGUAAUAUACCUUGGUUAUAAAUGCUUUUUAUAUCAGUAUGUAUCAUUUUCUGCUCUGCACCUGUGAGUUGCCAGGAAAGCUAAUACUGAAAAUGAUGAUUCAUUUCAGGAAGAUCCCCUUUGGUUACAGGGGACUAAAAUGAAAGUUUAUCUAAGAGAAAUCAAAAAGGAUUUGGUAAUCAAGAAUACUUGGAAUCUAUCCAUGCACUGGAUACAUAACAUAUGAGCAAAUGGAAGUCACUGAAAUGUUUAAGUAAUGCAACUCUAUCCUAAAGCCUAACAGUCUUACCCUCUCUUAGCUAGGGGGGAGUGAGACAGCAAGAGUAAUCUCCAGUGUAGGAAUGUGGAACUCUUGUGGUCAGAGGUUCAGACUUUCAGCAUGCUAAAUGACAUGUGAGUUGAUCUAAACCAGAAAGUAAAAGGAAAAAAGAAGAACAAACCAACCAACAAACAAACAAACUGAUGUUAAAAGAUUAAUGUCAGUUUGCAUUCAGAUUAAUUCAAUUCUCAGUCCUUUGAGACACGGGGCAUGUCAAAACUACACAUGUAAGCUUUCUGCAUGAUAACAAUCUCUCACAUUAGCAGCACCAUUUUGAAAUACCUUAGCCCAUUGAUUUAAGUCAUGCUAUUUAAAUGAUCUAUAGCAAGUGAAAAUGAAAAACUAUUGAGCAAACUGGAGGAUGUUACAUUUUGCAAAAUGAUAUGUAAAAUAUAAGUGAAUUAUUAUUGUUCUGAAUUGACUUAGGUCAGAAAUGGGGUCUAAUUACCAUUUCAUUUUGAUACUAUACAAUAUGGAAGACAGAAGGAAAAAACCCUAAGACUGUUAUGUCAAUUGUAGUAUUCACAUGCCAUCAACUUUCUGUCUCAAAAUAUUUAAAAAUGAAGCCAGACCAAACCAAUGUAAAUUGGUGGAUUUGGACACCCUUUUCAUGACCGACUUAUCCUAGCUGGAUUGUAAACUACUUAUUUUGGAAAUCCAAUUUGACCAAGAAUAAUUUUAAGAAAGAGAGAUAGCCUCAAGGUUCCAGUAUUUUGAUUCUGUGAACAGUUUUCAAAGAAAUUCACUUUUAAGGGCACCUUUAUAUCAAGAAUAAAAACAUCUCUGCUCUGCUGUCAGUGUUUCUUCACAGUAGGAUAUAAAUACUUAGGGAACAAGAUGAAACAAAAGUCUUUUCAAAGUUUUCUAUCUACUGCUGACAUUAAAGUAUAGUGGUAGAGAACAUUUCAGUAAAGAAAAUAUUUAUUAUAAUAAAGUCUGAGUAUUUGUUCAUUAUAUGCUGACCUUCUCAUGUUUUAAAAUGGUGUUUAUCACUGAGAUAAAUCACUGAUUUUUUCCCCCUAGAGGAUAACAACUCUUUUUUUUUCUUUUCAGGAAGCUUAGAAUAGGAUGGAUUCACAAUUAGGAAUGAUCAGACUAAAUGGUAGUUAAAACUCAGUGGAAAGAAUGCAGCUGUCCCAAGUUAUUCCCACCAUAAAUCUUACGAGCUUUCCAGAAUGAAAUCUAGGAUAAGGACUGACUCCAGAAUAUACUUGUUUAUCUGCCAAAAUAUGAGCAGUGUGUAACAUUGCUUGUGCUAAAAGCAGUCAUAUAUCAUGUUUUAGGAUAUACUGAAAUUACCGGUGAGAAAACUAAAAGGAAACAGAAUUCAGGUUCAGUUGACAUACAUAACAUCAUCAGAAGUUACAUGAAUCGCUCUGCAUAACUAGGCUGAAGCUCUCGUAAGAACAUGCUACCUUAUGAGAUAUUUAGUGCUCUGUUUCUAGCUGAGUUUAGAAUUUCCAAAAAUAGCUUUUCUUGCUUUCCUAUGGCACUUCUAGUUCCAGAUGAAAUCUGGAAGUGCAGAGGACAAGUAAAACAAAGGAAAGCUACAAAGGACACAGUUAGGCAGAUAUUGCAGAACUUGGACAGUUUGAGUUUUAUAUUAGAGACUGUAAAUGUUCAGGACAGUUCUUAUGGUUUCUUUGAAUAGGGUAAUCUAUUUCUGUUUGAAACAGGAGUUCUCAUUAACAACAUGUAUUAUAGGAAAGUACAAGAUCCUGCCCUAUUUUAUACCUAUGAAACUCCAUAUUUUUCUCAUGUUGAAGAUAAUAAAUAGCACCAAUCAAACCUGG